rnacentral:lncRNA from 1 species
AUCACAGCACACAGCCUCCUAGAAAAGAGUGCACUAAGAAUGUGAGGAUUGCGUGUCCCUUGCUCUGCGUGCUCCAUCAUUUGUCUCAGCACAGAGAAUGGGAAAUAUCCAAAAGAUUAGGUUCAGCAUUCUGCAGACCGAGGCUUGAAGGCAUGUUGUGAACUGGAUUCUGGCUCUAAGCUGCAGUUCACAAGCACGUUUUGUAGUGUGGAGUCUUAAACUGACCUGUAGUCCAGCUUGGCUUGUGAAGCAUCAGUGAAGCAACCGGAGCUCCUCAAGAGAAUCUAGGAUUUGGCCCUUGAGGAAGCUGGAGCUGCU